AGUGAACGCUGGCGGCGUGCCUAAUACAUGCAAGUCGAACGGAGUGGCGCACGGGUGAGUAAUGUAUAGCUAAUCUGCCCUACACUAGAGGACAACAGUUGGAAACGGCUGCUAAUACUCUAUAGUGUAGGAUGAGGCUAUAUUGGAUCAGCUAGUUGGUGAGGUAAUGGCGCACCAAGGCGAUGACGCAUAACUGGUCUGAGAGGAUGAUCAGUCACACUGGAACUGAGACACGGUCCGGACUCCUAGGGGAGGCAGCAGUAGGGAGUAGUGCUCAAUGGGGGAAACCCUGAAGCAGCAACGCGGCGUGGAGGAUGACACUUUGCGGAGAGUAAACUCCGUUUGUUAGGGAAGCGGUACCUAACGAAUAAGCACCGGCUAACUCCGUGCCAGCAGCCGCGGUAAUAC
rnacentral:rRNA from 1 species